AUCACAAGAUUUCUAAAUAUGUUCGUUAUAAAGCACAUUAUAAUCACGAGACACACAUGUUAUCUUUUUUUCCCUCCAACACACACAGGUUGCUGGAAAAAAGGAAUGUGCAAUGGAGAUUGUUAAUAUGGAAGUAUCCUAAGAAAUGGCAUACCGUUUGAGAAAAUAAACACACUAGACUUUGGCACGAAGGAUGAUUAAUUUUACCAUGAAUUAAUGGAGACAGGUUUUUUAUCCUCUUCAUCACCAGAAAUAGUCCCCUUAAUAAGAAACUCUUCCCCAGAUCUGGAAGUUCUGAUCUGAUUCCGUAAGCCUGGGUGACAGGUGUGCAGAGAUAUCAAAUCAUCUAUUGAGAUCAUGCAAAGACUCUGGAAAUACAAUCUCGGCGAGUCCUGGCUGUAGCACUUUUGAUGUCCUCGUCAGUGGCCACAGUCCUGCAAGUUUUGACGGGUGGAUGCUGUGGGGGGGUCCAGGCAGCUCUGUGCAACAGUCUCCAAUGGGGUAGUAGGAUGAGAAGGUCCAGGGGUAUUUUGGGAAACGAGGCGAAACAUCACAUCCCAAGACGGUAAACGUACCGAAAAGGCUAUUCAAACUCCAGAAGGAC
rnacentral:lncRNA from 1 species